rnacentral:snoRNA from 13 species
AUUCGAAUUCCACAGGAUUGAUUUAGCAGAAGAGUUCUUGAAGACUAUAUUCAUCACCCAAAACUGAAAACAUA